rnacentral:rRNA from 1 species
GAAGAACUCUGGCGGCGUGCUUAACACAUGCAAGUCGAACGAAGUGGCGAACGGGUGAGUAAUACGUGGGUAACCUGCACUCCUUUUUGGGAUAAGCCUUUGAAACGGGGUCUAAUACCGACUUACGGAGGAUGGGCUCGGGGCCUAUCAGUUUGUUGGUGUGGGGAUGGCCUACCAAGGCGGUGACGGGGUGCCGGACUGAGAGGGUGAACGGGAACAGAGGGACGGAGAUACGGCCAAGAAUCAGACGGGGGGCAGCAGAGGGGGUGAUUGCACAAUGGGCGAAAGACUGAUGCAGCGACGCCGUGUGGGGGAUGAAGGCUUUCGGGUUGUAAACCUCUUUAGGAAUCGAACGGGUAGGUGGAGAAGAAGCGCCGGCUAACUACGUGCCAGCAGCCGCGGUAAUUC